rnacentral:rRNA from 1 species
GAUGAACGCUGGCGGCGUGCCUAAUACAUGCAAGUCGAGCGAACAGACGAGGAGCUUGCUCCUCUGACGUUAGCGGCGGACGGGUGAGUAACACGUGGAUAACCUACCUAUAAGAAUGGGAUAACUUCGGGAAACCGGAGCUAAUACCGGAUAAUAUAUUGAACCGCAUGGUUCAAUAGUGAAAGACGGUUUUGCUGUCACUUAUAGAUGGAUCCGCGCCGCAUUAGCUAGUUGGUAAGGUAAAGGCUUACCAAGGCAACGAUGCGUAGCCGACCUGAGAGGGUGAUCGGCCACACUGGAACGAGGCCACGCUCCGGACUCCUGCGGGAGGCAACAGUAGGGAACUUUCCGCAAUGGGCGAAAGCCUGACGGAGCAACGCGCCGUACGUGAUGAAGUUCUUCGGAUCGUAAAACUCUGUUAUUAGGGAAGAACAAAUGUGUAAGUAACUAUGCACGUCUUGACGGUACCUAAUCAGAAAGCCACGGCUAACUACGUG